rfam:Myotis brandtii contig110800, whole genome shotgun sequence.
AGGGAGAAGCGCAGGGAACCCUGGUUAGAGUGCGUUUCAGGGGCGCUUGGAAACGCCGCGGGGAGCUAGGAGGCAGCGGGGAUGGCGCAGCCUGGGACAGACAGCAGCUCCCGGCAGGAAGCCGCGGGUUGCUGCCAGGCCUCUUACACCAGGCGGUUCGGAGAUGGGCCCCGCAGCUUUCCAUCCAAUCUCACGUGAAGCGACAGUCAAGGCAGUAGGAGUUUUACGAAGAAACCGAACGUUUU